rnacentral:rRNA from 1 species
UACAGGGGGGUGCAAACGUUGCUCGGAAUCAUUGGGCGUAAAGCGCACGUAGGCGGUUCGUUAUGUCGGAUGUGAAAGCCCUUGGCUUAACCGAGGAAGUGCAUCCGAAACUGGCGAGCUAGAGUACGAAAGAGGAUCGCGGAAUUCCCGGUGUAGAGGUGAAAUUCGUAGAUAUCGGGAGGAACACCGGUGGCGAAGGCGGUUCUCUGGGCAUGUCCUGACGCUGAGGAGCGAAAGUGUGGGGAGCGAACAGG